GGCAGGGGCAGGCCCUGGUAUGCCAGGGCAGAUAACCGUACCGUGUAUAAGGCCAUACACCAUCCCUCACGUGCAGGCUAUGAACUCCGCCCCAUGGGGCUGGCGGAGGCGGAGCCCUCUCUGGAAAGGGAGGGUGAACCGCCUUAGCUGGGGGAACCCGGCCAGGCCCGGAAGGGAGCAACCUAACCCUGGACGCUAGCGUUCAUGGGUCACCGGGGGAAGCCGCCGUGAGACGGCUCUGGUGUAUGGCCUUAUACACGGUGCGGGGCUCUGCC
rnacentral:SRP_RNA from 1 species